rnacentral:lncRNA from 1 species
UAUUGUGACGUCAUAAUGGUAACGUUGGAGAUCCAUCGCUGCUCGCAGGCUGUAGGCUGUUCGUUUGUUUGAAUUUACGCACGUUACGGAGGGUGAGAAUCCAAGAAACUAAUGGUGACAAACCCCAAACUUGCCCAAGUUCAUACACUGAAGUUGAAUUGAGGGCAAAUGGAGGAAGAUACCGUCUUAUGUGUGACAGUACCACAGCAAAACUCGUAGAUUCAGGAGGUAAAUAUAUAGGCCUAUAUAUACACGUAUUUAAUGUAAAUUUAUAAAGUCAACUUAGUUAAAAGUAAUCCCAGACUUUAGGCCUUUAUAUGUAUGUUUCUAAAUAUUUUAAAUUCAAAAGCAGACCUGAAAGUUAAUAUUCGUUAACAGUUUGAUUUAAAAAAAGGUAUCAGAUAAUGAGAGAAGUAAUACAAUAUACUGUACGUUUAUUUUUAAUCCGAAAUAUGCCACCACAAUAACUGAAAUACUAAAAAGAUUGCCAUCAAGGGCAAGUGCUGAGCCUCAGGAAGGUUUUUCAGAAGCCAGUACAUCAACCGUAGAGAGAUCAAGGCCUACUGCUGUGACACCAACAGUUAAUACCACUUGAUCCAGAGAAGAAGCAGAACAGAAAAGUGUGUCCAACAUCUCACCCAAUGCAGGCGAUUAGAAGCUCUGGAGAAAUGCAGAAGCACUCAACCUUGUCCUGCUGAGAUUGGAGAAAAAUGAAAAAUUUCUGAGUGGCAAAUCAUCACACAGUGUCUUGUGGAACGAAAUAAGUAAGAACGUUGGAAAGGCUACACCAAUACAGUGUAUCAAUAAGUGGAAAAAACAUACAGAAAACAUACAUGCAUACCAAAGACCAAAACUCAAAAACUGGUAACCAUCCUCAAACUUGCCCCUUUUAUGAAGAACUUAAUGCUGUCUAUGGGUGCAAAGCCUCAACAUCCCCUAGUGUUACAAUUGAUACUCUGGGCAGCCAGUCGGAUACAUAUUCAUAGUCAUCACAGCACAAGAAACUUACACCAAUCAUUACACAGUGCCUUGUAUGACGAAAUAAGUAAGAACGUUGGAAAACUUAAUUAAUAUUGUUGCA